CUUGAUAACAUAAGAGGUCCAGCCUGCCCAGUGACUCAAUUCAACGGCCGCGGUAUCCUAACCGUGCAAAGGUAGCGUAAUCACUUGUCUUCUAAAUAAAGACUAGUAUGAAAGGCACCACGAGAACUAAACUGUCUCCUUUUUCUAAUCAGUGAACCUAAUCUCCCUGUGAAAAAGCAGGGAUUUAAUAAUAAGACGAGAAGACCCUAUGGAGCUUUAAACACAUAACACUGCCCUUUUACACCACAAUGUUCCAUGCACAAUGAUUAAGAGUUUUUAGUUGGGGUGACUACGGAGUAAACCCACCCUCCGCGAUGAAUCUUAAACAAGCGACAGCUUUAUACAUCAACAAACUGACACCAUUGACCCAAUUUAUUGAUCAACGAAC
rnacentral:rRNA from 2 species